rnacentral:snoRNA from 1 species
CCCCUCUCAGGGUCGCACCUGGAGAUUUUCCAGUCCUCCACCAGACUCGACUAUGAAAGGGAGAGUCAAGCAGAGGCCUGUCCAUUCCAUUCCUAGCUUGGCCAGGGGCUAGCGAGUGGAAGGCCAUCUGCUACAACU